rnacentral:misc_RNA from 1 species
GUGAAUCAUCUAAUCUUUGAACGCAAAUUGCACUCUCCGGUUUUCCGGGAGAUUAUGCCUGUUUGAGGGUCAGCCUAAAAAAAAUCGACAUUGUUGCUGUUAUUUAAUUGUGACUUUCUCCGGAGAUUGGGUUAUCUUAAACCUUUUUUUUUUUUUUUGUUUAAUCUAAUUAAAAUUUUUCUUCACGAUUCCAUUAACGUUUCUAAGAUUUUUAUUUCUUAUACGUUUAAGGUUUAUCUAUCUUUUAUUAGACGUUACCGUCGCAUCGUAUCUCUGU